GCAGGCCUAACACAUGCAAGUCGAGCGGUAACAGAAAGUAGCUUGCUACUUGCUGACGAGCGGCGGACGGGUGAGUAAUGCUUGGGAACAUGCCUUGAGGUGGGGGACAACAGUUGGAAACGACUGCUAAUACCGCAUAAUGUCUACGGACCAAAGGGGGCUUCGGCUCUCGCCUUUAGAUUGGCCCAAGUGGGAUUAGCUAGUUGGUGAGGUAAUGGCUCACCAAGGCGACGAUCCCUAGCUGGUUUGAGAGGAUGAUCAGCCACACUGGGACUGAGACACGGCCCAGACUCCUACGGGAGGCAGCAGUGGGGAAUAUUGCACAAUGGGCGCAAGCCUGAUGCAGCCAUGCCGCGUGUGUGAAGAAGGCCUUCGGGUUGUAAAGCACUUUCAGUCAGGAGGAAAGCGUGGUGGUUAAUACCCAUCAUGUGUGACGUUACUGACAGAAGAAGCACCGGCUAACUCCGUGCCAGCAGCCGCGGUAAUACGGAGGGUGCGAGCGUUAAUCGGAAUUACUGGGCGUAAAGCGUACGCAGGCGGUUUGUUAAGCGAGAUGUGAAAGCCCCGGGCUCAACCUGGGAACUGCAUUUCGAACUGGCAAACUAGAGUGUGAUAGAGGGUGGUAGAAUUUCAGGUGUAGCGGUGAAAUGCGUAGAGAUCUGAAGGAAUACCGAUGGCGAAGGCAGCCACCUGGGUCAACACUGACGCUCAUGUACGAAAGCGUGGGGAGCAAACGGGAUUAGAUACCCCGGUAGUCCACGCCGUAAACGAUGUCUACUAGAAGCUCGGAGCCUCGGUUCUGUUUUUCAAAGCUAACGCAUUAAGUAGACCG
rnacentral:rRNA from 1 species